UACGAAGGGGGCUAGCGUUGUUCGGAAUUACUGGGCGUAAAGAGUUCGUAGGCGGUUUAUUAAGCUAGAUGUGAAAUCCCUGAGCUUAACUCAGGAACUGCAUUUAGAACUGGUAGGCUAGAGAGUGUUAGAGGUUGGUAGAAUUCCUAGUGUAGGGGUGAAAUCCUAGAUAUUAGGAGGAAUACCAUGGCGAAGGCAGCCAAACUGGGACAUUUCUGACGCUGAGGGAAACGAAAAGCGUUGGG
rnacentral:rRNA from 1 species